ACGUAGGGGGCAAGCGUUGUCCGGAAUUAUUGGGCGUAAAGCGCGCGCAGGCGGCUGUUUAAGUCUGGGGUUAAAACCUUGGGCUCAACCUGGGGUCGCACUGGAAACUGGAUAGCUUGAGUACAGAAGAGGAAAGUGGAAUUCCACGUGUAGCGGUGAAAUGCGUAGAGAUGUGGAGGAACACCAGUGGCGAAGGCGGCUUUCUGGGCUGUAACUGACGCUGAGGCGCGAAAGCGUGGGGAGCAAACAG
rnacentral:rRNA from 1 species